UGGGGAAUAUUGCACAAUGGGCGCAAGCCUGAUGCAGCAACGCCGCGUGAACGAUGAAGGUCUUCGGAUCGUAAAGUUCUGUUGCAGGGGAAGAUAAUGACGGUACCCUGUGAGGAAGCCCCGGCUAACUACGUUCCAGCAGCCGCGGUAAUACGUAGGGGGCUAGCGUUAUCCGGAUUUACUGGGCGUAAAGGGUGCGUAGGUGGUCUUUCAAGUCGGUGGUUAAAGGCUACGGCUCAACCGUAGUUAGCCUCCGAAACUGGAAGACUUGAGUGCAGGAGAGGAAAGUGGAAUUCCCAGUGUAGCGAUGAAAUACGUAGAUAUAUGGAGGAACACCGGUGGCGAAAGCGGCUCUCUGGUCUGUAACUGACGCUGAGGCUCGACAGCGUGGGGAGCGAACAGG
rnacentral:rRNA from 1 species